ACAGGAACUAUGAACCAAAGGCUGAGGGGCCCCCAACUGAAUCAGGUCCUCUGAAUAGAUGUAGUCAAAUUGACAACCAAAAAUAACCAUCACAGCAGCAGAACCCAACUUUGAACAGGCUGUCAUGCAGAAAGCAGAACACAGCAAGCAUGUUGAUUCUGAUCAGCGACUCCUUGCUAGUUAUAUGGCUCAAUUGUGUGGCUUCAUGACAGGAUGCCUCAGUGUUUCUAUCUCUCAAAUUGCCUCUCCAUCCCUUCUCCAAUGUGCAGAUGAGGAGGAAGAAUGUCGAAAUGACUCUCUGAAGAUCAGCUCCCAUGGAAACACAGCUGCCCGGAGGAACCAGCAAAUGAGGGGAUUUGGAUCUUCUGAGGCCCAUGUAGGCUUGUAAGGUUGUAAGGUUUCCCCUUACAAGCCGGCUAUCCAUGAGCUGCAGACAUCCACCUACACACAACACUGUCCCUGAAGACAUGACAGCUACAUAUUUUCUUUGCUGUUCGUUCCCCAAGUGUGACCUGUGUAUUGGAUAGACAAAGCUUGUGAGACAGAGUCAGAAUAUCCCUUACCUUUGUCCUAAUGCCUCUUUACUUCUAGUAAUACAGUCAUGACAUUAGUAUAAUUGUAUUAAUGACAUUAAUAUAUAAAAUGGCAUAAAUAAACAAAAUGGC